GGCACGGUGGCCAUUUUACAGCUGUGGGGCACUUCAAGCGAGGGAGAGAGGGAGGAAUGGAUGCUACUGGGAGGUACCCCACCAGCUUCCACUAGUCUCCCACACCUGCUACAUUUGAGGCACGUAGCCACCUCACCAAGCCCCAUUUACAGGCUUCCCUUUCACCAGUUCCAGUCUCAGGCUCCUCCCUCUGCAUUCCCUCACACUUCAAAGCAGCCCUCAGGAGAAUUACGCCUGGUGGAGACCUGGGGCCUUCAGCCAACAGCCAAGGGAAUGAACCAUCUAGAAAGAUCUUUUAACCUUUAGUUGACUGCUACUUUUGCUUAUCUUGACCGAUUAUGUCUCCCAUCUCAUGAGAGACACUCUUAGCCAGAACUACCCAGUACUGACUGGAAUGUGGAUAUGAUGGCUGGAGCUCCAGCAGACAUCUUGGAUCACAAGUUAUAUACUGAAGAUGACAGAGCAAUAAUAUUGAAGGAGCCGGGGUACUAGUGACUAUGAAGCUGCCACAUUAGCCCUGGAUGCCCUACCUCCAGACUUUGUGUAAAAACAAAUUAAGCUUCCGCCCUGUUUAGGUUA